CUCUCACUACAAGUUUCCUGGAAAAUUUUCUAAAAAGUUGGCUGUAGUUUAAUGCCAGAUGUUGAAAACAAUCCCUAAUCUUCGAGUGCCCUGUAUUUUUCUUAUCGACACAAUUAUUUAGUUAUUAUUAAUUCUGUACACUUCACUUAAAUUGUUUAUAUCAAUUUUCAGAUCUUUGGGCUCAAAUCUGCACUCUGUGAGCGAUAUAUGCUUUUCAUAUAUCAAUCAAAAAAAAUGCGGGGACUACAAACAUGGUGAAGUAUUUAAAUUAGAAGGUCAUCCUCUUGGAGGUAUAAACAUUCAUAUUUUGAAGAGAAAUCCCCACGAAAAAGUAUCAGAAGGCAAGUUGUUAGUCGUUUCCUAUGCUUGGGAUGGAAAUGCCUUACCUGGUAAUGAAUACUGGUGUGAAAAUUUAAGUGGUAGCAAUGAUCCAGCAACAGCUUCUUCAACACAAAUUGCCGAAAUUCAUAACCCUCAUAUCAAUCCUUUGGUGUGUGCUGAUAAAUUAAGAGUUGUUAAAGAUGGACAAAUAGUGACUUUUGAGGAAUAUCAAAAUCUUAUCAGAUGUAGCAAAGCUGACGGAAAAAUGUAAUGUAUUUGAAAAUAAUGAAAUAUAUGUUUUCGUUAUUUUGAUUAUUAA